CACGUGUUUACGGAGCACCGGGUUCCAGGCAUUGUGCUGGGCGCCAGCAGCAUGGCGAGGUCCCGACACUCUAGUAGGAGAGAGAGACAAUGAAAGGAAUCAUAGAUCUAACGUGGAGUCUGAUACUCAGUGCUCAAGAGUGUGCAGUGAACCAACGAAUGGGGGAGAAAAAAAGAGUGCAUAGGCCAGACUGAGAAGACACACUUCCGGGAGCGCACGUGAGUCUCCGGGACUCUGUGACAAUGCGUGAUGUGUUGCUUCUUAAUCGCGUGGAUUUGAGGACCGUAUUGGGUAUCCUGUAACACCUUCUUACGGUGUGUUUUUUACGUGUCUGUGCUUUUAAGGAAAGGACACCUGUGUCGGUAUGAUCCUGGCUAAGUCUAAUUACUAGUUUUGUUAAAGAGGAUAAAUCACCCUUGGUUUUUUUUAGA